GACGAACCGUGCAAACGUUGUUCGGAAUCACUGGGCUUAAAGGGCGCGUAGGCGGGCGGGCAAGUCAGGGGUGAAAUCCCGCGGCUCAACCGUGGAAGUGCCUUUGAUACUGCUCGUCUGGAGGGAGGUAGGGGCGUGCGGAACUUCCGGUGGAGCGGUGAAAUGCGUAGAUAUCGGAAGGAACACCGGUGGCGAAAGCGGCGCGCUGGACCUCUACUGACGCUGAGGCGCGAAAGCCAGGGGAGCAAACGGG
rnacentral:rRNA from 1 species